rnacentral:lncRNA from 1 species
UAUUUUAGCACCUUUUCUUCUAAAUGUUACAUGUUCUCUCAUUUUAAAAACACCAUCCCUGAGACUGCAUAAAUAGAAAAGAAACAGGAAUACAGAGGAUAGAUUACUUGCCAGACUGAACCACUGCUCCUAGGAGAAACGUGUAUAUAUACAAUCUCACGUUCAUCAUCAUCUUAAAUCCUAAAAAGAACUCAUCCUGGCAGAUUCUAUCUUCAUUAUUUUGUAAGAAAAGUGGUUCAGAAAUGUUAAGUGACUGGACUGAGGCUGCCCCACUGACAGGGAUUCAAACUCCCCAACUGGCCCCAGAGCCACAGCUCCUUGCACUACAUGGCACCGGC